UAACUAGGCAGAGGAAAAGAAACCAACUAGGAUUGUCACAGUAAGGGCGACUGAAGUGUCAUGAGCUUAUGAUUUAAAUCAGAUAUUUAUUGUCUGAGUUGUGGUCUAAACUCUUUUGCACUGUCUGAAAAAUCAAAGUUUCUUGGAAGAGGACAGCAAAGAAGGUGAAACUCCUGUUUGAUUGGGAAGAGCAUGCGCAAGAGGAAGAGUCGAGUUGUUUGGGAUUUCAGCUCCAAGAUGGUGGUAAAUUUUAUCGAAAGCUAAAUAUUCUAUGGAAAACCGAUAGUGUACAAGUACCGUGAGGGAAAGAUGCAAAGAACUUUGAAAAGAGAGUUAAAGAGUACCUGAAAUUGUUGAAAAUGAAGCACAUGAAACUAGUGUUAAACUGAAACAUUUUUCUUUGUCUGCUUGCAUUCAAGGCAUUGUGUCCAGUGAGGUAGGCCUUAGCUUUUGCGAACAAUGGAGUUUUUGCUGUUUGCAUGAUCAUUCUUUGAUUGCUUUCACUAAGGUAAACAAAAUAGUUUUAUUUGCCCCG
rnacentral:rRNA from 1 species